GACGAACGCUGGCGGCGUGCUUAACACAUGCAAGUCGAGCGGAGCGGCGAACGGGUGAGUAACGCGUGAGUAACUGCCCCCCUCUCUGGGAUAACAGUUGGAAACGGCUGCUAAUACCGGAUAGUGGGGGAUGACUCGCGUCGUAUCAGCUUGUGGGUGGGGUAGUGGCCUACCAAGGCGGUGACGGGUAGCCGGCCGGCGAGGGUGACCGGCCACAUUGGGCUGAGAUACUGCCGAGACUCCUACGGGGGGCAGUAGUGGGGAAUAGUGCAAAAUGGACGGAAGUCUGAUGCAGCGACGCCGCGUGGGUGAGGAAGGUUUUCGGGUUGUAAACUGCUUGUGAUGCUGAACGGGUAGGUGGUGAAUAAGCGCCGGCUAACUACGUGCCAGCAGCCGCGGUAAUUC
rnacentral:rRNA from 1 species